rnacentral:misc_RNA from 1 species
AUUUUGAGUUUUUGGGAAAUAUUAGAGGCAAAGACUGGAGAAUUCAGACUAAUAUUUAUGGGAAUGGUAGCACAAAUGUUGGCAGAGAAGAAAGAUAUGGACUUUGGUUUGAUCCUUCUGAAGAUUUUCAUCAAUACAGUAUCCUUUGGACUGAGAAUUUGAUCAUCUUUUAUGUAGAUAAUGUCCCCAUAAGAGAGAUCAAGA